UUGACAUUUACCCCUCAUUUACUUUCCCCAACACUCGUCAACUCCCCAACUCCCUCCUUGCUUCUGCUCCAUUGAACCUGCAAAAAACCCUCGUUGCUUAUCCAAACAAGAUAAUCGACACUACACAUAUAAGGGCAUACGUUUAAUACGAAAUGGUGUUCGUAAUGUGGCAUAUCAGACCAAAACACGAAGUUGUUGAUGUAUCAACUGUAUAUGGUAAGCUGCUCUGUUUUCUUUAACUUUUAUACUUUGCAUUUUCUUAUUGAUUUAGAACAAAAAAAUGCAAAAUUUUAACUUUGUUAAUAUGUACAAUUUUGAUUUUUAGCUGGUGCACCCACAUGGUUUAGUAUUAAGCUUCAUCACGGUGGGAAAUUUACUAAAUUACCUGAUAUAAAGUACAUUGGAGGUGAAGUGCGUUAUGUUGAUUAUGUGGAC
rnacentral:lncRNA from 1 species